AUCUAUUUCUCCCUCCGUCAUCCUUCAGUGGUGUGUGCCAAUCCACUCGGCCUCAAUGGCACACACACACCUGGACAGAAUAUGAGUGACCACAGGACUUCAUGUCAGCCUCAGAGUCAUCUUGUGGUUGACACAUCCCACAAGGACACUGAUAACACCACGCAGCCAAAACAAGCUCUCCUCACAGAGACUAUCCCAGCUGAGCCCUGCCCACACAGCUCAUCACAAACAGACUGUGACGUACUACAUCAGCUCCAAGACUCAGCACCCAAGGACAGCUAUCUGGAAAACAGCCAGGGAAGCCAGGACAACAUAUCACAGCCACCGGAAACACCAGAGCCAGAGCCCCUCUCGCCAGACACACUAUCCCUCUCUCCAGAAUCUCCACUUCUAAGCUUCUCACAGAAAAUGGAGGAACUGGUGUAUGCUGGGACCAAACUCUCCCACUCGUUCGCUGCAAGCCCCCAGAUAUCAACUAAAAAACGGCGGGCCCCACAACCACCAAAGACAGCAGGCCCAGCUCUCCCUCCUCCUCCUGUGAGAGCUCUCCGACCGCUGCCACAACGCCAGGGCCCAAACCCUCCUCCAUCAGCUAUUGAGAAAUGUCCGAUGCAGUCUCGUGGCCAGACAACCUUGCUUGGAGGUGUGCUGAAAUGCAUCUGUGGUUUUCACACUCCAAAGCAGCCCACUGCCUCUACUGGACCAGCACAAAGGGUGGUGGAACAACCUGCUGUUGCUGGAACAGCAAAGGAGGUCAUGGAGCAGAGUCAGCCUGAACCCCAGCACCAUCCCCCUCCCCAGCCCCAGCCUACUGCACUUGUGGCAACAAGAGUUGCACCACAAUUGUCAAUGUUUACCAAAUCAAGAUUUACUGGCUCUCACAUUGCUGCAGCAAAGCCAAAUCUUAGUGUGGCCAGGAGACCUUCUCGGGUUGAAGACCAGCCCAGCGCAGCAGUGUCUAGUGCCUCAGUACCAAGCACCACUGUCUCUACACCAGAUCCUCAAGUUCCAGCCCCUGUCCCCAGAGCCACUGCAGAUGUGUCCAGUCCUGCGCAGCCAUGCAGUAUUGUCUCAACAGCUCCUUCUGGGUCAUUAUUGCAAGCUCCAUCUGUAGUUUCACUUCCUCGUUUGUGGUCGGAGACCUUGCCACCAGAGGAUCACAAGUGGAUUGGCAAAAGGCUUUUCAAAAUGGGAUCCAAGGGAAAGCCAGAGCUUCGUGAUAACCUUCGUGAUAACCACUUAUCUACAAUCAGGCUCCAGCUCCAGACAGAUUCUUUUGUCAUUCUCUUCUGCUGUAGAUGCCGUACAAGCUGUGGAGGGUCAAGAUUCUCUGUCCCAAUCCUGCCUGCGGACAACAUCAGCUGACAGGAGGUGGUCUGCACAAAAGGGCACGGCAGGUUCUAGACAUUGACAGAACGUAUAACAUGGUCACAGAAACCCUCAUCUGUACCAAGUGUAGAGCCUCGCAUGUGUCCUGGAGUCAUACUGUCCUGCAACAGCUAGAUCUGAGCCAUCGCUCUGAGUUUCAGGUCAUCCUCACACGGAAGUAUGCCUGUGAUAUGCGGGUCAUCCGGCUCCUGCGUGAGCGUGGCUUAGGCAACAGCCCCAAGCGGGUGAUCAAGGAGCUGCGUGAAAACCACAGCGAGCAGUGGCUCCAUCGUCUGGCCCGGUACACCACCCAAUGUGUUGACUUCCUCAAUCAACUCAGGGUGAUGCCGGUAAAAUUCCAGGAGCCCCCAGAGCCUACAGUGGUGCCAAGCUGCAAGUGACUGCUCACCGUUUACAGCCAAGACAUCCUGACAAGGCUGGAUGAAAUCCAUGCAAGGAUAACAUCCACCUAUGGUUCUGUCUUGAAGAUGGAUUCCACUUAAAAGAUCACCAAGAAGCUGGCUGGGACAGCGAGGGGAACGGGACUCUGGCUUACCUCUGUUGGCAACGAGUUUGGUCAGGUGUUCAUAAGUGUGCUCACAGCCCAGGAAGGAGCAGGACUGGACAUGAUGGUAGACGGUCUGGUGAAAAGAUACCAGCAGGCUGGUGUGGAUCCACCUGCUGUGUUGUACGUGGACUGUGGGUGCUGCAACGAGCUGGGCGAGACCAAGCUGAAAACCAGAUUCAGAGGCUGGCCAGAUCUCGUGAUACGCUUGGACAUCUGGCAUUUUAUGCGCAGGAUUGCCUUGGGGUGUACAACUGAUGCCCAUCAGCUGUACCCUAUCUUCAUGUCACAGCUAUCAGCGUGCAUCUUUGAAUGGGAUGCGGCUGAUGUCUCUAUGCUUCGCAAAGCAAAGAGAGAGCUGUUGAUGUCCCAGGGUUGGCCUGCGCUGACAGAAGAAGAUGUCAGCAAGCAUGGAGCACAUCUGGAGUGUCCAGAAGAAGCAUGUUAAGUGUAUCCAAGACCCCCCUGGUGUUGUGCUCUAUACAGAGACAGGGAGCAUAACCAAGGGAGGUGUGCUUCUGAAGACAUACAGAUGUGCCAGAGGCU